rnacentral:tRNA from 1 species
GCCUCCUUAGCUCAGCUGGUAGAGCAACUGACUUGUAAUCAGUAGGUCGUUGGUUCGAUUCCGACAGGGGGCUCCU